rnacentral:rRNA from 1 species
GAUGAACGCUGGCGGCGUGCCUAAUACAUGCAAGUCGAGCGAACAGACGAGGAGCUUGCUCCUCUGACGUUAGCGGCGGACGGGUGAGUAACACGUGGAUAACCUACCUAUAAGACUGGGAUAACUUCGGGAAACCGGAGCUAAUACCAGAUAAUAUAUUGAACCGCAUGGUUCAAUAGUGAAAGACGGUUUUGCUGUCACUUAUAGAUGGAUCCGCGCCGCAUUAGCUAGUUGGUAAGGUAACGGCUUACCAAGGCAACGAUGCGUAGCCGACCUGAGAGGGUGAUCGGCGACACUGGAACUGAGCCGCGGUCCAGACUCCUACGGGAGGCAGCAGUAGCGAAUCUUCCGCAAUGGGCGGAAGCUUGACGGAGCAACGCCGCGUGAGUGAUGCAAGUCUGCGGAUCGUAAAACUCUGUUAUUAGGGAAGAACAAAUGUGUAAGUGACUAUGCACGUCGUGACGGUACCUAAUCAGAAAGCCACGGCUAACUACGUG